UUUAUGGAGAGUUUGAUCCUGGCUCAGGAUGAACGCUGGCGGCGUGCCUAAUACAUGCAAGUCGAGCGAACAGACAAGGAGCUUGCUCCUUUGACGUUAGCGGCGGACGGGUGAGUAACACGUGGGUAACCUACCUAUAAGACUGGGAUAACUUCGGGAAACCGGAGCUAAUACCGGAUAAUAUUUCGAACCGCAUGGUUCGAUAGUGAAAGAUGGUUUUGCUAUCACUUAUAGAUGGACCCGCGCCGUAUUAGCUAGUUGGUAAGGUAACGGCUUACCAAGGCGACGAUACGUAGCCGACCUGAGAGGGUGAUCGGCCACACUGGAACUGAGACACGGUCCAGACUCCUACGGGAGGCAGCAGUAGGGAAUCUUCCGCAAUGGGCGAAAGCCUGACGGAGCAACGCCGCGU
rnacentral:rRNA from 1 species